UAUCGUAUCUUCUACUCUAUCAAAUAUCUCUUAGUUGUAACCCAAUUGAUCAGCAUUCGAUUAUCGAUGCUAGUAGAUAAAAGUUUAAAUAAAUCUUUGAAUGUUUUAAGUCAGUGCUAUCACUUGAUUUUAAAUUGCUUUUCGGUGUAAGUAGAACGUUAUCGUCUUAGUAGACCGAAAAGUUGGUCUAAUAAAACUAUGACUACUUGGUCUUUCAUAUUUAAAUGUUGGUAUAUUGUAUUUCGUACUCUUAUCAUUUAAUAUCUCUCUCUCUAUCUCUAUGUUGUAGCAAAAUUGAUCAGCACUCAAUUAGCGAUGUUAGUAGAACAACCUUUUAAUAAAUGUUUGCAUAUUUUAAGACGGUUAAAUACUAACUUAAAAUAGCUUUUCGGUGUCAGUAAACCAUGUUAAACAUUUUAGUUGACGUAAAAGGUUGUCUUAUAAAACUAUGACUACUCGGUCUUUCAUAUUUAAAUGUUAGUAUAUCGUAUCUUCUACUCUAUGUUGUUACGCAAUUGAUCAGCAAUCGAUUAUCGAUGCUAGUAGAAAAAACUUUAAAUAAAUAUUUGAAUGUUUCAAGUCACUGCUAACAUUUGAUAUUAAAUUGCUUUUCGGUCUUAGUAGAACGUUAUCGUCUUAGUAGACGUAAAAUAUGGUCUUAUAAAACUAUGACUACUUGGUCUUUCAUAUUUAAAUGUUGGUAUAUUGUGUCUCUCUCUCUCUAUCUUUAUGUUGUAUCAAAAUUGAUCAGCACCCAAUUAUCGAUGUUAGUAGAACAACCUUUUAAUAAAUGUUUGCAUAUUUUAAGACAGUUAAAUGCUAACUUAAAAUAGCUUUUCGGUUUCAGUAAAACAUCUUUAACAUUUUAGUUGACGUAAAAGGUUGUCUUAUAAAACUAUGACUACUCGGUCUUUCAUAUUUAAAUGUUACUGUAUCGUAUCUUCUUCUACAUCAAAUAUCUCUAUGUUGUAACCCAAUUGAUCAUCAUUCGAUUAUAGAUGUUGUUGACUUAAAAUAGCUUUUCGAUGUUAGUAAAACUCCUUUAACACCUUAGUAGACGUAUAUGGUGGUCUCUUAAAACUAUAACAAUUUGGCCUUUUAUGUUUAAUAUUAGUAUAUUGUAUCUUGUACUCUAUCAAAUAUCUAUAUGUUGUAACACAAUUGUAAGUUAUAGUAGAAUAAACUUCAAAUAAAUGUUGGCAUAUUUGUCUAGACAGUUGUAUCAGUUGACAUAAAAUAGCUUUUCGGUGUUAGUAAACCACCUUCAACAUUUUAGUAGACGUAAAACAGGGUCUAAUAAAACUAUGACUACUCGGUCUUUCAUAUUUAAAUGUAAGUAUAUCGUAUGUUGUACUCUAUCAAAUAUUUCUAUGGUGUGACCCAAUUGAUCAGCAUUCGAUUAUCGAUGCUAGUAGAAAAAACUUUUAAUAAAUCUUUAAUAUUUUAGACAGUGCUAUCAGUUAACUGUAAAUUGCUUUUUGGUGUUAGUAGAACGUUUUCAUCUUAGUAGACGUAAAAGGUCAUCUAAUAAAACUAUGACUUGUCUUUCAUACUUAAAUGUUGGUAUAUUGUUUCUUGUAUUCUAUCAAUUAAUAUCUCUCACUCUAUGUUAUAUCAAAAUUGAUCAGCAGUCGAUUAUCGAUGUAAGUAGAACAAACUUUAAAUAUAUGAUUGCAUAUUUUAUAAAAGUGCUAUAAGUUUGCUUAUAGUAGUUUUUAGAUGUUGAUAAAUCACCUUGUACGUCUUAGAAGACGUAAAAGGUGGUGUAAUAAAAUUAUGACUACUUGGUCUUUCAUUUUUAAAUGUUAGUAUAUCGUAUCUUCUACUCUAUAAAAUAUCUUUAUGUUGUAACCCAAUUGCGCAGCAUUCGAUUAUUGAUGUAAGUUAUAGUAGAAUAAACUUUUAAUAAAUCUUGGCAUAUCUUUCUAGACAGUUCUAUCAAUUGACUUAAAAUAGCUAUUCGAUGUCAGUAAACCUCCUUCAACAUUUUAGUAGACAUAAAAGUGGUCUCAUAAAACUAUGACUACUCGGUCUUUCAUAUUUAAAUGUUGGUAUAUCGUAUCUUGUACUCUAUCAUAUAUCUUUAUGUUGUAAUCCAAUUGAUCAGCAAUCGAUUAUCGAUGCUAGUAGAAAAAACUUUAAAUAAAUAUUUGAAUGAUUUAAGUCAGUGCUAUCAUUUGUUUUUUAAUUGCUUUUCGGUGUUAGUAGAACGUUAUCGUCUUAGUAGACGUAAAAUAUGGUCUUAUAAAACUAUGACUACUUGUUCUUUCAUAUUUAAAUGUUGGUAUAUUGUAUUUUGUACUCUAUCAUUUAAUAUCUCUCUCUCUCUAUCUCUAUGUUGUAGCAAAAUUUAUCAGCACUCAAUUAUCGAUGUUAGUAGAACAACCUUUUAAUAAAUGUUUGCAUAUUUUAAGACAGUUAAAUACUAACUUAAAAUAGCUUUUCGGUUUCAGUAAAACUCCUUCAACAUUUUAGUAGACGUAAAAGGUGGUCUAAUAAAACUAUGACUACUCGGUCUUUCAUAUUUAAAUGUUGGUAUAUCGUAUCUUGUACUCUAUCAGAUAUCUUUAUGUUGUAAUCCAAUUGAUCAGCAAUCGAUUAUCGAUGCUAGUAGAAAAAACUUUAAAUAAAUAUUUGAAUGAUUUAAGUCAGUGCUAUCAUUUGUUUUUUAAUUGCUUUUCGGUGUUAGUAGAACGUUAUCAUCUUAGUAGACGUAAAAUAUGGUCUUAUAAAACUAUGACUACUUGUUCUUUCAUAUUUAAAUGUUGGUAUAUUGUAUUUUGUACUCUAUCAUUUAAUAUCUCUCUCUCUCUAUCUCUAUGUUGUAGCAAAAUUGAUCAGCACUCAAUUAUCGAUGUUAGUAGAACAACCUUUUAAUAAAUGUUUGCAUAUUUUAAGACAGUUAAAUACUAACUUAAAAUAGGUUUUCGAUUUCAGUAAAACUCCUUCAACAUUUUAGUAGACGUAAAAGGUGGUCUAAUAAAACUAUGACUACUCGGUCUUUCAUAUUUAAAUGUUGGUAUAUCGUAUCUUGUACUCUAUCAGAUAUCUCUAUGUUGUAAUCCAAUUGAUCAGCAAUCGAUUAUCGAUGCUAGUAGAAAUAACUUUAAAUAAAUAUUUGAAUGUUUAAAGUCAGUGCUAUCAUUUGAUUUUAAAUUGCUUUUCGGUGUUAGUAGAACGUUAUCAUUUAAGUGGACGUAAAAGAUAGUCUAAUUAAACUAUGACUACUUGGUCUUUCAUAUUUAAAUGUUGGUAAAUUGUAUUUUGUACUCUAUCAAUUAAUAUCUCUCUCUCUCUAUCUCUAUGUUGUAGCAAAAUUGAUCAGCACUCGAUUAUCGACGUUAGUAGAACAACCUUUUAAUAAAUGUUUGCAUAUUUUAAGACAGUUGGCUUAAAAUAUGUUUCGAUAUUAAUAAAUCACCUUUAACGUCUUAGUAGACGUAAAACGUGGUCUUAUACAACUAUGACUGCUCCGUAGUUCUUGUUUAAAUGUUUGUCUAUCGUAUCUGAUACUAUAUCACAUAUCUCUAUGUUGUAAUCCAAUUGAUCAGCAGUCGAUUAUGCUAGUAGAACAAAGUUAAAAAAAACUUUUUCAUAUUGUUAGACAGUUCUAUC